UGUGUAGGCGGGUCGUUAAGUGUCUUGUGAAAUCCCCCGGCUCAACCGGGGAAUGGCUGGGCAUACUGGCGAUCUUGAGCAGUCUAGGGGCAGAUGGAACAGACGGUGGAGCGGUGAAAUGCGUAGAUAUCGUCUGGAACGCCGAUGGUGAAGACAGUCUGCUGGGGACUUGCUGACGCUGAGACACGAAAGCCAGGGGAGCGAACGGGAUUAGAUACCCCGGUAGUCCUGGCCCUAACGAUGUCGACUAGAUCGUGGGAUCUCUGACGGUUUCACGGUCGAAGCAAAAGUGCUAAGUCGACCGCCUGGGAAGUACGGUCGCAAGGCUAAA
rnacentral:rRNA from 1 species